UGAACGCUGGCGGCGUGCUUAACACAUGCAAGUCGAACGGGAAACCUUUUAUUGAAGCUUCGGCAGAUUUAGCUGGUUUCUAGUGGCGGACGGGUGAGUAACGCGUGGGUAACCUGCCCUAUACAGGGGGAUAACAACCAGAAAUGGUUGCUAAUACCGCAUAAGCGCACAGGGCCGCAUGGUCCGGUGUGAAAAACUCCGGUGGUAUAGGAUGGACCCGCGUUGGAUUAGCCAGUUGGCAGGGUAACGGCCUACCAAAGCGACGAUCCAUAGCCGGCCUGAGAGGGUGAACGGCCACAUUGGGACUGCGACACGGCCCAGACUCCUACGGGAGGCAGCAGUGGGGAAUAUUGCACAAUGGGGGAAACCCUGAUGCAGCGACGCCGCGUGAAGGAAGAAGUAUCUCGGUAUGUAAACUUCUAUCAGCAGGGAAGAUAGUGACGGUACCUGACUAAGAAGCCCCGGCUAACUACGUG
rnacentral:rRNA from 1 species